rnacentral:rRNA from 1 species
GGAAUAUUCGCACAAUGGGGCGCAAGCCUGAUGCAGCGACGCCGCGUGAGGGAUGAAGGCCUUCGGGUUGUAAACCUCUUUCACCGGGGAAGAAGGUCCCGGUUUUCUCGGAUUGACGGUAGGUGGAUAACAAGCACCGAGCCAACUGCGUGACAUCAUGCGCGGUAAUACGUAGGGUGCGAUCGUUGUCCGGAAUUACUGAGGCUUAGAGAGCUCAAUAGGUGGUUUGUCGCGUUGUUCGUCAAAUCUCAAGGCUUCCCUGUGAACGUGCGGGCGAUACGGGCAGACGAGAGUACUGCAUGGGAGACUGGAAUUUGUGGUGUAGCGGUGGAAUGCGAAAAUAUCAAGAAGAACACCGAUGGCGAAUGCGGAUCUCUGGCCAGUGACUGACGCUGAGGAGCAAAAGCGUGAGGAGCGAGCAGGAUUAGAUACCCUAGUACUCGCUGUCGUAGACGGUGAGUACUAGGUGUGGGUUUCCUUCCUUGUGAUCCGUGCCGUACCUAACGCAUUAAGUACCCCGCCUGGGCAGUACGGCCACAAU